UACGUAGGGUCCAAGCGUUAUCCGGAAUCACUGGGUUUAAAGGGUGUGUAGGCGGGUAUUUAAGUCAGUGGUGAAAUCUCCAGGCUCAACCUGGAAACUGCCAUUGAUACUAUUUAUCUUGAAUUUUGUUGAGGUAGGCGGAAUAUGUCAUGUAGCGGUGAAAUGCUUAGAUAUGACAUAGAACACCAAUUGCGAAGGCAGCUUACUAAACAAACAUUGACGCUGAGGCACGAAAGCGUGGGGAUCAAACAGG
rnacentral:rRNA from 1 species